UACGAGAGCCUCGAGCGUUAUCCGGAAUUAUUGGGCGUAAAGGGUGCGUAGGUUGUUCUGUUAGUCUUUUGUCAAAUCCCGGGGCUUAACUUCGGGACCGCGAAAGAAACGGCAGAACUUGAAAGUGCGAGAGGUAUACGGAACUCAUGGUGUAGCGGUGAAAUGCGUUGAUAUCAUGGGGAACACCAAAAGCGAAAGCAGUAUACUGGCGCAUAUUUGACACUGAAGCACGAAAGCGUGGGUAGCGAAU
rnacentral:rRNA from 1 species